UUUGCAGAUGGCGCAGGCGCUGGGUGCGGCCCAGUUCAUGCUGGGGCUGCGGCGUGUGCCGGCGUUCCACGGCCCGCUGCCAGAC
rnacentral:tRNA from 1 species